ACACUAAAUAACAUACACCAAAGGUUUUAUAUUAUGUUAAGAUUGUAUCACAGGUUGUAUUUAAAGUCCAUUUCAUGUGACAUAUUUUGUAUCUGAAUACAACCUAGUAUGAAGGUGUUACUUGACAUGGAUAAUUUAACCCCAGAAAUGGAUCAGUACUUUCUAGAUGCAUUUCCAUUUCGGACUUUGAAAGAACGGCAGUGGAUAUAUCCAUUCACAGAUGGACCUGAGGAAGAAAAUGAAAUAGGGUUAGAGGUCAAUCAUGUAACAAAAUAGAUAUGGACAUGUAUUUUACUUGAGUAAAAGUUAUGUGACAAAGCCACCUUUAGCCAUACCUGCCCCACUGAAUUUCUGCACACAUGACAGGAACCAUUGCAGGGCUCCAUCUAGUUGCACUAGCCUGGGGUCAUCCAUUGUCCUACAAAAAAGAACCAGAUAGAAGAAAAGAUGACGGACGGAAAGUGAGCAACCCACGUCCAACAGUUCAAGCAUGUCAUUGCUGAAUACAUCUGCUGCGAGGUGGUUACGCAUCCGUGUUGCUGGGGUGAGCUGAAAAUGGCCAUCCUUGAUUUUGGAGGAUGUCACUGGUGCCCUGGCAUUUGUUUUGUCAUGAAGGAGUCUCUCUGACGGCAGCUUCAGAAACCCACUGUCCCGGAGGUCUGCGUAUCCUUGCUUGCUCCGUUGCCAUAGUUGUAGACAGACGUCCAAGAAUCUGAGGGAUCUGAGGGCUGUCACCUGAUGCACGCUUCAUUUUGUCACGCCUCCAGCGGGCCUGCUUUACUGCAGAGCGUAAAGCACUGCAUU